GGGCUAUGGUGUAAUGGUAACACAACAGAUUCUGGUCCUGUGUUUCUUGGUUCGAGUCCGAGUAGCCC
rnacentral:tRNA from 1 species